GCUGGGCGCGGUGGCUCACGCCUGUAAUCCCAGCACUUUGGGAGGCUGAGGCGGGUGGAUCACCUGAGGUCAGGAGUUCGAGACCAGCCUGACCAACAUGGUGAAACCCCGUCUCUA
rnacentral:SRP_RNA from 1 species